rnacentral:rRNA from 1 species
GAAUUCACUAGGAUUAGAGUUUGAUCCUGGCUCAGGAUAAACGCUGGCGGCGUGCAUGAGACAUGCAAGUCGAACGGACACCUCGGGCUUGCUCGAGGUGUUAGUGGCGGACGGCUGAGUAACGCGUAGGUGACCUGCCCCGAAGUGGGGAAUAACUGCCCGAAAGGGUGGCUAAUACCGCAUGUGGUCACACGUUCGACCGUGUGAGUAAAGCCGCAAGGCGCUUCGGGAGGGGCCUGCGUCCGAUUAGCUCGUUGGUGGGGUAACGGCUCACCAAGGCGACGAUCGGUAGGUGGUCUGAGAGGACGAUCACCCAGACUGGGACUGAGACACGGCCCAGACUCCUACGGGAGGCAGCAGUCGGGAAUUUUGCUCAAUGGGCGCAAGCCUGAAGCAGCAACGCCGCGUGAGGGAUGAAGGCCUUCGGGUUGUAAACCUCUUUUCUCAGGGACGAUAAUGACGGUACCUGAGGAAUAAGCCACGGCUAACUACGUGCCAGCAGCCGCGGUAAUACGUAGGUGGCAAGCGUUGUCCGGAUUUACUGGGCGUAAAGAGCGCGCAGGCGGCCGUAUAAGUCGAAUGUGAAAGCCCCCGGCUCAACUGGGGAGGGUCAUUCGAUACUGUUCGGCUCGAAGGCAGGAGAGGGAAGCGGAAUUCCCGGUGUAGUGGUGAAAUGCGUAGAUAUCGGGAGGAACACCAGUGGCGAAGGCGGCUUUCUGGCCUGUUCUUGACGCUGAGGCGCGAAAGCCAGGGGAGCAAACGGGAUUAGAUACCCCGGUAGUCCUGGCUGUAAACGAUGGACACUAGGUGUUGGUGGUAUCAACCCCGCCAGUGCCGUAGCUAACGCAUUAAGUGUCCCGCCUGGGGAGUACGGCCGCAAGGCUAAAACUCAAAGGAAUUGACGGGGGCCCGCACAAGCAGCGGAGCGUGGGGUUUAAUUCGACGCGACGCGAAGAACCUUACCAGGACUUGACAUGGCCAGGAAGUCGGCGGAAACGUCGGUGCCCCGCAAGGGGCCUGGUCACAGGUGUUGCAUGGCUGUCGUCAGCUCGUGCCGUGAGAUGUUGGGUUAAGUCCCGCAACGAGCGCAACCCA